rnacentral:rRNA from 1 species
AUUGAACGCUGGCGGCAUGCCUUACACAUGCAAGUCGAACGGCAGCACGAGGGCAACCUUGGUGGCGAGUGGCGAACGGGUGAGUAAUACAUCGGAACGUGUCUUGAAGUGGGGGAUAAC